rnacentral:rRNA from 1 species
GCCGGACCUGACUGCUAUCGGGAUGAGGCUAAGCCAUGGAAGUCGACGUGCGCCCUUGCGCACGUGGCGUACGGCUCAGUAACGCGUGGCUAACCUGCCCUCGUGACGGGGAUAACCUCGGGAAACUGAGGAUAAUCCCCGAUAGGCGAGCGGCUUUGGAAGAACCGCUCACCGAAAGGGACGGAGGGAAUGCCUUCGUCCGCGCGAGGAUGGGGCUGCGUCCCAUCAGGCAGUUGGUGGGGUAAUGGCCCACCAAACCUAUAACGGGUACGGGCCGUGAGAGCGGGAGCCCGGAGAUGGGCACUGAGACAAGGGCCCAGGCUCUACGGAGCGCACCAAGCGCGAAACCUUCGCAAUGCGGGAAACCGUGACGGGGCCAUCCCGAGUGCAGGCUGCUGAGGUCUGCUUUUGCCCAGUGUAAGAAGCUGGGCGAAUAAGUGGGGGGCAAGACUGGUGUCAGCCGCCGCGGUAAUACCAGCUCCACGAGUGGUCAGGACGGUUAUUGGGCCUAAAGCGUCCGUAGCCGGCCCGGUAAGUUUAUGGUGAAAUCCGGCAUCUCAAGUGUCGGAGCGCUGUAAAUACUGCCGGGCUAGGGAGCGGGAGAGGCCGAGGGUACCUCCGGGGUAGGGGCGAAAUCCUAUAAUCCCGGAGUGACGACCAGUGGCGAAAGCGCUCGGCUAGAACGCGUCCGACGGUGAGGGACGAAAGCUGGGGUAG